rnacentral:rRNA from 1 species
UGGGGAAUAUUGCACAAUGGGCGAAAGCCUGAUGCAGCAACGCCGCGUGAGCGAUGAAGGCCUUCGGGUCGUAAAGCUCUGUCCUCAAGGAGAUAAUGACGGUACUUGAGGAGGAAGCCCCGGCUAACUACGUGCC